GAGGUUUCCUGGGGAAGGAUAAUCCUCCCAUGGGUUAGUCGGUCCCUAAGCCAAGGCCGAAAGGCGUAGGUGAUGGUAAGCAGGUUAAUAUUCCUGCACCACUAGGGAUGACGUUGAAGCAAGCAGGGACGGAGAAGGGUAUGCCGAGCCAGCGAAUGGUUGUGCUGGUUCAAGCCCGUAGGCGGUUCACGUAGGACGCGACAGCGACAAACGCGUGAACAUUACGUCGAGAGGCGAUGAGGUGGAGCUCCGGCUUCGUAACUCGGUGAUCCCAUGCUUCCAAGAAAAGCUGCGUGCGGAGUCACUCUAGUGACCGUACUGCAAACCGACUCAGGUGGGCGGGGUGAAUAUCCCAAGGCGCGUGAGAAAACACUGGCUAAGGAACUCGGCAAAAUGACACCGUAACUUCGGGAGAAGGUGUGCCCGUAGACGUAGAGAGACUUGCUCUCCGAGCGUCCGUGGGUUGCAGAGAAUUGAGGGUAGCGACUGUUUACUAAAAACACAGGACUGUGCGAACUCGUAAGAGGACGUAUACGGUCUGACGCCUGCCCGGUGCUGGAAGGUUAAGGGGAGAUGUCAGCGCAAGCGAAGCAUCGAACCGAAGCCCCAGUAAACGGCGGCCGUGACAAUAACGGUCCUAAGGUAGCGAAAUUCCUUGUCGGGUAAGUUCCGACCUGCACGAAUGGCGUAACGACUUCCCUACUGUCUCAGCCAGUGACUCAGCGAAAUUGUAUUGGGGGUGAAGAUACCCUCUACCCGCGGCAAGACGGAAAGACCCCAUGAACCUUUACUGUAAGUUGGCAGUGAAGUUCGGGUCAGCCUGCGUAGGAUAGGUGGGAGGCUUUGAUAUCGGGAUCCCGGUUUCGAUGGAGCCAACCUUGAAAUACCACCCUGGCUGUUCUGGACUUCUAACCUAGGCCCAUUAUCUGGGUCGGGGACACUGCCUGCUGGGCAGUUUGACUGGGGCGGUCGCCUCCAAAAGAGUAACGGAGGCGCGCGAAGGUUCCCUCAGGCUGAAUGGAAACCAGCCGUAGAGUGCAAAGGCAUAAGGGAGCUUAACUGUGAGACCGACAGGUCGAACAGGUGAGAAAUCAGGUCUUAGUGAUCCGGUGGCACUGCAUGGAAGGGCCAUCGCUCAACGGAUAAAAGGUACUCUGGGGAUAACAGGCUGAUCGCGCCUGAGAGUCCAUAUCGGCGGCGCGGUUUGGCACCUCGAUGUCGGCUCAUCGCAUCCUGGGGCUGGAGCAGGUCCCAAGGGUUUGGCUGUUCGCCAAUUAAAGCGGUACGCGAGCUGGGUUUAGAACGUCGUGAGACAGUUCGGUCCCUAUCUGCCGUGGGCGCAGGAUACCUGAGAGGAGCUAUUCAUAGUACGAGAGGACCUGAAUGGACGCACCCCUAGUGUGCCGGUUGUCACGCCAGUGGCAUAGCCGGGUAGCUACGUGCGGAACGGAUAACCGCUGAAAGCAUCUAAGCGGGAAGCCGGCCUCAAGAUGAGGUAUCCCGGACGCAAGUCCCUAAAGACCCCACGUAGACCACGUGGUUGAUAGGUCAGGUGUGGAAGCGUAGCAAUACGCGGAGCUAACUGAUACUAAUCGGUCGUGCGGCUUUUCCUA
rnacentral:rRNA from 1 species